rnacentral:rRNA from 1 species
UUCUUGACGACCAUAGAGCGUUGGAACCACCUGAUCCCAUCCCGAACUCAGCAGUGAAACGAUGCAUCGCCGAUGGUAGUGUGGGGCUUCCCCAUGUGAGAGUAGGUCAUCGUCAAGAUU